rnacentral:rRNA from 1 species
CCUACGGGAGGCAGCAGUAGGGAAUCUUCGGCAAUGGGGGMAACYCUGACCGAGCAACGCCGCGUGAGUGAAGAAGGUUUUCGGAUCGUAAAACUCUGUUGGUAGAGAAGAAYGUURGUGAGAGUGGAAAGCUMMUYAAGUGACGGUAUCUAMCCAGAAAGGGACGGCUAACUACGUGCCAGCAGCCGCGGUAAU